GCAGGGUCACAGCACGGGAUGCUCACCCGGCGGUUGCGGUCGGUCUCCCGCACCUCCUCCUCCUCGGGGCCUUGGCGGAUGAGCGCCUUGAGUACGAUGGUGUUGUUGGUGCAGCAGGCUCGGAAGAGGGUGAAUGUCCAGGGUCUGAGUACCUGUCUGCCUGAUGGGAGAGAAACAAGCUGGCGUUUUUGCAGGAGGAGAGUUAGUGUGGCCACUGAUCUGCUCAACAGAAUGUUAAUAUUUCCUGGAGUACCACCUGUGUUUUGGAAGAACUCCGUUUUUUUCUUCAGACCCUGCAGCUGGAAGGGAGUAUUUGCAUGUUGUCAGCCUGAACUCACCAUAAAAGCUCAGGAAGACAUUUGGCUCCAGUAACUUUGCAAAGCAGGAAAAUAAAACUAAUUCUAAUCAGAGAGAAACAAAAAUCUUUUGGGGUGAAGAUUCAGCUCAUCUCUAAGAACGGAUUAAUCAAAUACACUUGCUUUGUUUCUACCACAAGAAUAAAGAUUUACUUUAUUUGCCAGA